CCUCACACCUUUGGGUGUCACCGGAAAAUGGGUGUGGAGCAGGCCCUGGAUCAGGAACAGAAAGGGACGCCCCCCAACACGCUACACACACACACACACACACACACACACACACACACACACACCAUCCUUAUCGCAGUUUUCUGGCAAAUGUAACUGAACCAGGUCAUUUAACUUACCAUAAUCGCCUCAGGAGCCAGGCUUACCAUUGAGACCGAGGCCCCGCUUCCCAAAGAAGAGAGGUUUGAGCUGAAGGGAUGGUACCAGGUUCCCCUUGACCAGUGGCAAUUGGCACUGGGAUUCGGUGCCAGUUUUCAGGCUCUGCCACGUACCUCCCUUCUCCUCAACUCACUGGGAGCUUUUACGGGCCUCCCAGGCCAACCCGAAUGGGAGCCAAGUGGCAAGGAAGAGGGCUCUUGGGAAAGGUGACAAAGGAAUGAUGUUUUCACCUCUACUGCCUCGUUUAUACUCUGGAAGGAGACUGGCCUACAAGACUGACAUUGGCCAUAUACCAAGACGUACGUUGAACAACCCCAGGGGGCACCGCUCUUUGUACUCAUUGUGUAAUUGUAUGGUUAUUGUGACCAUUUCCCAGUAGGUGGCAGUCAAAGAUUUCCAGAAAGGGAAGCCUCUUAAUUUUCCCGACGCCACUUCGCCCCUGGGUGACAUCCUAUUGAUAAGCAUAUCUAUCCCCUACCCCUCGCAGCAAUCCUUCUGGAAGUGGGAAUAGAUCUAGAGACCCACCUCCUACCUUCUUUCUCAUUUCUCCCUACGCCUCUUCAUCCUCCCCAACUUUUCUUUCUGUCUGUCCGGGCAUCGUCGGAGGCCCGGUGGAUUUGGGGGGUAGAUGGGAUGGGAGGGUCUUGCCUAAACAUCUAAGGAGAAGCCAAAGUAAAGUAUAGCUCCCUGCUAUAGCUUCUUGCUCUUUGUCCCUGGGCAAGGGUCUUUCAGCCUCGGGAUUAGGCCACCUCCCACUUUCGGCAAAUGUAAAAUAUUGGCGCGGUUGGAGGAAGAAAGGCGCCAAGAGCUGGACCUGAAGGACAGACCAAAAAGUUGCGAACUGACGGCACCUACUGGCAACCCUUAGGACUGCAGGAGGGCUGGCGUGUUAGGGCCGGAGACAGGGACUCUCAGUCACAUCUCAAGCUAAAAGGAAGGCUGAUUAUCACCUGCCUCUUCCACCUCUUGGAACCCCUGUGGGAAUAAAUGGACCGAUAAGAACAGUUUCGAAGCCCAAUGCCCUACUUGCCGUCCAGACAGCAAGCCCAAGAUGGGUAGAAACCCUGGGAUGAAGUACAGGUGCUGUGGAGGGCGGGCAUUCUGUACAGGUUUCUAGAUGACACAGAUGUCUCCACUCUGUCUCAACCCGAGCGACUGCCCCCAACUCAUCUUCUGGUGUCCUCCCCGUCGCUGCCUUAGACUCGUUCCCAGGAAGCCAGAGACCAAGCCCUGCUGUCCACAUAUGGCGUGUUCACGAAGCACCUAUGGCUUUCAGGACUUUGUGCUUUGUCUUGAGAAUAAAGAGAUGACCAAAACCA